CGCGGGUGUCCGAUUUCCAGCAGCGCAGACAUGGCGAUGGAUUUCUCCAUCUCUCCGGUAGACAGGUCAGAAAUCCCCUUCUUGGAAAAGAAAACUUCUUCCAUUUACUAUCCAGCAUCAGAGAGAUCUUAGAGCUUUAGUUCAACGCGUGCAGGUUGCCCAUCUUCCUGGAUGAGGCGGCUAGCGUGGUGGCCCUAAUGGAUUUGAUUGGUGGCGAAGAGGAAUCCGCCAAUGGAUCUUGUGGGGCUGUUGUCGCCGGAUUUGCGCACGACUCAUCUGGGCAGUUCGUACGUGGUGUUGUGUGCAGCAAGGAGAGGACUGUAGCUACCGGUGGUGCCGCCAUGUCCGGUUUCAGUGAGAGCGAGGGUGACAAAGCAGAUGCAAUUGACCAAGCCGACGACCGAAGCACAUAUUGAUGAACACCAAGAGGCUGUGAUUUAAGAUCGAACUGAAAGUGGUGAUGGAGGGUCUGCUCAAUCUACUACUUGCAAGGUGGAUCCGCAAGCCCCUGGGUGGACUUAGAGGUAAUAGGCAUUUACUUAUAAGAGGUAAAUGGUGUGUAGCAAAACCAGAGUUGCGAUGAUGUCUUGGUUAUUGUAGUUUCAUAUGAUCCCCUGAGGCAUUGUACAUUAGAUUGGUGGGUUAGAAACACACGAUUUCGUCAUGUCAUUGCAGAGCUUGAUUAAGUUUAUACAGUACAUUUUAUGGAGUAUGCUAACUCUCCGCUGCACUGAAAUUACAGGACACCCUGUCCCAGCGGGCUCGACACACUCUCCGCUUCGCUGAAAUUACAGGACACCCUGUCCCAGCAGGCUCAACAUUCUCUGCUCCGCUCAAAUUACAGGACCGGACACUAUGUCUGGGAAGAAUUUGUGCACUGGAGCAAAUGAUUUAGGGGUAUACAGAUUAGUUGGGUGAGCACGGUGCUAUUGGGCUAACACUAGACCCUAUGUAAGAAACAUAUGGUUUUUACAAUCUUUAUUCAUGGAAGCAUGGUUUCACCAUUAGAUAUUAUGGGAAAAGUAGGCUUAAUGUCAGGAAGACAAAAUAUAUGAAGUUUUCUGCGUAUGGUUGGGAGAGGAGAGUGGUGCAGCAGUGGUGGCAGGAGGAAGAAGAUUGCUCCAUCCAUCAGUUGGCCGAGCUCCGGCGUCCUCACGUCAGGCUUGGCUUGGAGUGCUGACAAUGAAGCAUUCUACAUGGUAUGCAUCCAGAUCCGCUUCAUCUGCUAGACGCUAAAUCGAGUCAAUGGACCAAUUGGCUAGAAUUAGAAAUUAACUGUGUGUAUUUUGUGUUUGCGCCUCCGUGUAUUUUGCUGGACGCUUAAUGUGUUCAUCGCUGGGAGGAACUAUCUCUAAAUUAGUUGUUAUUAUUGCAGUGUAGUAGCCAACGUGCGUGUGGACUAAUGUUUAAUUAUGUGAGAUUACCCCAAAAUGCCUGAUGCUGUUAAGCUGCAAAAUGCACCUUCGUAGAUAGAUUGAGAACCUGACAACCAACGUUUUUCCAGCAUUUUAUUUGCCCAAGUGAUGUCUUUCCGACUUUUUUUCCUGUGUCGGUGACAAAUCUUGCCAUGUGUUGGUUGUGCGUGUAAAAAAUAAAACCUCUACCCAUGGACUCCUGUUGUGAAAUUUUAGAAGACGUCUGAUACAUUU
rnacentral:lncRNA from 1 species